rnacentral:piRNA from 1 species
UGUGUGAAUAGCUAGUUAUCUUGGUGCAGU